rnacentral:rRNA from 1 species
AGAGCGAACGCUGGCGGCAGGCCUAAUACAUGCAAGUCGAACGGAUCCUUCGGGAUUAGUGGCGGACGGGUGAGUAACACGUGGGAACGUGCCCUUUGGUUCAGAACAACUCAGGGAAACUUGAGCUAAUACUGGAUAAGCCCUUCGGGGGAAAGAUUUAUCGCCAUUGGAGCGGCCCGCGUCUGAUUAGCUAGUUGGUAGGGUAAAGGCCUACCAAGGCUACGAUCAGUAGCUGGUCUGAGAGGAUGAUCAGCCACACUGGGACUGAGACACGGCCCAGACUCCUACGGGAGGCAGCAGUAGGGAAUAUUGCGCAAUGGGCGAAAGCCUGACGCAGCGACGCCGCGUGGGGGAUGAAUGCCUUCGGGUUGUAAACCCCUUUCAGCAGGGACGAAGCGAAAGUGACGGUACCUGCAGAAGAAGCGCCGGCUAACUACGUGCCAGCAGCCGC